GACGAACGCUGGCGGCGUGCUUAACACAUGCAAGUCGAACGGAAAGGCCCUGCUUGCAGGGUACUCGAGUGGCGAACGGGUGAGUAACACGUGGGUGAUCUGCCCUGCACUUCGGGAUAAGCCUGGGAAACUGGGUCUAAUACCGGAUAGGAGCCAUUUUUAGUGUGAUGGUUGGAAAGUUUUUUCGGUGUAGGAUGAGCUCGCGGCCUAUCAGCUUGUUGGUGGGGUAAUGGCCUACCAAGGCGGCGACGGGUAGCCGGCCUGAGAGGGUGGACGGCCAAAUGGGGACGGGGUAACGGCCAGGACCCUACGGGGGGGCAGCGGGGGGAAUAUUGCCAAAUUGGGGGCAGGCCGAUGCAGCGACGCCGGGUGGGGGAAUAACGGCUUCCGGUUGUAAACUCCUUUCGCUAGGGACGAAGCUUUUUGUGACGGUACCUAGAUAAGAAGCACCGGCUAACUACGUG
rnacentral:rRNA from 1 species